rnacentral:rRNA from 1 species
UACGUAGGUGACAAGCGUUGUCCGGAUUUACUGGGCGUAAAGAGCGCGCAGGCGGUCGUGCAAGUCGAGUGUGAAAGCCCCCGGCUCAACUGGGGAGGGUCACUCGAUACUGUUCGACUCGAAGGCAGGAGAGGGAAGCGGAAUUCCCGGUGUAGUGGUGAAAUGCGUAGAUAUCGGGAGGAACACCAGUGGCGAAGGCGGCUUCCUGGGCUGUGACUGACGCUGAGAUGCGACAGCUAGGGGAGCGAACAGG